rnacentral:rRNA from 1 species
GACGAACGCUGGCGGCGUGCUUAACACAUGCAAGUCGAACGGAAAGGCCCUGCUUUUGUGGGGUGCUCGAGUGGCGAACGGGUGAGUAACACGUGAGUAACCUGCCCUUGACUUUGGGAUAACUUCAGGAACCUGGGGCUAAUACAGGAUAGGAGCUCCUGCUGCAUGGUGGGGGUUGGAAAGUUUCGGCGGUUGGGGAUGGACUCCCGGCUUAUCAGCUUGUUGGUGGGGUAGUGGCUUACCCAGGCUUCGACGGGUAGCCGGCCUGAGCGGGUGACCGGCCACAUUGGGACUACGAUACGGCCCAGACUCCUACGUGAGACAGCAGUGGGGAAUAUGGCACAAUGGUCGGAAGCCUGAUGCAGCAACGCCGCGUGCGGGAUGACGGCCUUCGGGUUGUAAACCGCUUUCGCCUGUGACGAAGCGUGAGUGACGGUAAUGGAUAAAGAAGCACCGGCUAACUACGUG